rnacentral:lncRNA from 1 species
UCUAUCAGUUAUGCUAGUAUGAGCAGUAGCAGUACAUGAGGUUUAAAAAUGUCUAACAGCUUAUCAGAGAUACUAGGUAAUGUAUGAGCAGAGUAUGAGUAUCCAAGAGUGUUGCCUAGCAUUUUACCAGACUCCUUAAGGGCUCGGAUGAAUGCCUCAAAGUCAGCCUUGGUGAUCACCUCCUGAGAAGUUAGAGCCCUGCCUUCACUUUCACCCGCCUUGACAUUUGGACUAGCCCCUGAUGAGCCAGCACCACUUGCUUCAGCAGAAAGGUGAGCCUUA